UACGAAGGGUGCAAGCGUUACUCGGAAUUACUGGGCGUAAAGCGUGCGCAGGUGGUGCGUUAAGUCCGAUGUGAAAGCCCUGGGCUCAACCUGGGAAUGGCAUUGGAUACUGGCGUGCUCGAGUACGGUAGAGGGUGGCGGAAUUCCCGGUGUAGCAGUGAAAUGCGUAGAGAUCGGGAGGAACAUCCGUGGCGAAGGCGGCCACCUGGACCAGUACUGACACUGAGGCACGAAAGCGUGGGGAGCAAACAGG
rnacentral:rRNA from 1 species